rnacentral:rRNA from 1 species
UACGUAGGGGGCGAGCGUUGUCCAGAUUUAUUGGGCGUAAAGAGCUCGUAGGCGGUUUGGUAAGUUGGAUGUGAAAUCUCCAGGCUCAACUUGGAGGGGUCAUUCGAUACUGCCAUGACUAGAGUUCGGUAGGGGAGUGUGGAAUUCCUGGUGGAGCGGUGAAAUGCGCAGAUAUCAGGAGGAACACCCGUAGCGAAGGCGGCACUCUGGGCCGGAACUGACGCUGAGGAGCGAAAGCGUGGGGAGCGAACAGG